rnacentral:rRNA from 1 species
UACGUAGGGUGCGAGCGUUGUCCGGAAUUACUGGGCGUAAAGAGCUCGUAGGUGGUUUGUCGCGUUGUCCGUGAAAACUCACAACUCAAUUGUGGGCGUGCGGGCGAUACGGGCAGACUGGAGUACUGCAGGGGAGACUGGAAUUCCUGGUGUAGCGGUGGAAUGCGCAGAUAUCAGGAGGAACACCAAUAGCGAAGGCAGCUCGCUGGGACGUUACUGACGCUGAGGAGCGAAAGCGUGGGGAGCGAACAGG